CCACACUCAACAAUGACUUUCUGACUCUCUCCAUUUGGUUGUCAGAAGACUGCAUUUUUUUUUUCCCAUGUUGACUCUUGACUUUUUUUUAUUGUUCACCAGAAAUAAUCUGCCCUUCCAGCUAUAUCUUUCAUCCACCUAUUCAAUAAACGUCUGUUGAAUCUAAUGCAAGGUAGGCACCAAUAUUUGAGAGAUGAACAAGUCACAGUCCCUGAUUUCAAGGCGCUCAUGGUUUAAUGGAGUGAAUUGCAAACUUAUAUUGAGCCAUCAAGAGUAAUGUCUUGAUAGAAGCAUAAAAAUAAAGUAUUGUGAGGAGUUCCCACUGUGGUGAAACAGUAUCAGUGGCAUCUCUGGAGCCCAGCAGAAUGGUUUAUGGGUCAGUGGAUGGAGGCAGAGGCUUAAAGGCUUAAAGCUGCACCUUGAAAGAUGCCCAGAACCAAGUCUUCGCAGAGCACCUUUGUUGAAUCCCUUACGCAUUGCUUGAAGCAGCUGAUAUGCAGCUUGUUGUUGAUGUGAAUUGAAGCAUUCCCCUUGGGACAACCACAGGGAAGCUAUGAAAACAUUAAAGGUAAACCAAUUUCCUAAAUAUUUAAGGGGACACAUAAAAAUAAUAUAAACAAACAAACAAGAAAACACAAACCCCCUCAAGGCAGCUUCUUGAAAUUAUCAGUGAAAAGGCUGUCUCUCUCAAAGCACAGUUAUCUGUGCCAAGUGAAGUCUUUUCUUGAUUUCCUUUGCUUCUUAGAGAUAACAGAACUGGGUCCUUUGGCUAAAGUGGCCGAGCUACUGCCUCUUUGCUGGCACCCCAGGCCGGAUCUUGGAAGAAGCCAGCCAUGGUUCGUAAAAGGCAGCAGAAGGCGCCCAUCUCCACGGGAAGCAUCCUGGUUUAGAGAAACAAGUGCUCUGUGGACGUUCCAGCAUCACAUGGAUGAGCCGAACGACUGGGACAAGUCACAUGCCAGCUUCAGCCUUCCGUCUUUAGCUGUAAAACCGGUCCCUCUCUUCCAGCCUCUUUAGGCAGUUUGCAGACACGU
rnacentral:lncRNA from 9 species